ACAUUUUGCAACAGAAUUGGCAUAAUGAAUACACCCCAGGUGCCCCGUUCUAAAAGUGACCUAGGUUGAAGGGCCACUGCCCCUAAAACAUUUAAUCUCAUCUCAAAAUUGACUACAAAGUGUAAAUGGGAUGAUUUGUCAGUCUCACCUAAAACAAAGCACGUUAAAAGGAUCACUGCCGCUUGAGAAUGAAUAGCCCUAUACAGAUUGACUAUGGUGCUCCAGUUUGCAUGCCCUGCUGAAGGACCCUAGUACCAUACCAUGUGGAAUAAGUUGUUGAAGCUUGUUGGUCCCCAAUGAUGGUGGAGCCCACGGCCAUCUUCCUGGGAGAGACCACUCUGGAUCCGUCUGAGCCAGACCUGCUGUCCUCCCCCUCUGACAACUGAUCUGCACGCACACACAAAAAAAACGUUUAAAUGGUAUUUCUCAUUAUUCUGGAAAAAAACUAUUGCACUGUACCCAAAAAUAUCCAUAUCAUUUUCACCUAGCACUUUAAUCACCUUAAAGGUCUGCUCCACUGUCUCUGCGCAACUGCCCCUUUUAAGAGCUCCUUUCUGUGACUGCGCUGUCUCUUUCCAUUGCCGAGCCUAUUCUUGCCCUACGGACUACAUGCUGUUCAAAUUUUAUAUUGCUUGUUAUUGUUUCUUUCUACAUUGUUUGCUUUUCCUUUUCUAGUGAUAGUGUGUAAAGUGUGUUGUGACCUUUGUAAAUUGCACUUUAAAUAAACUUGACGUUUCUCACCA